CCUACGGGUGGCAGCAGUGAGGAAUAUUGGUCAAUGGACGAGAGUCUGAACCAGCCAAGUAGCGUGAAGGAUGACUGCCCUAUGGGUUGUAAACUUCUUUUAUAAAGGAAUAAAACGAGGCACGUGUGCCUUUUUGCAUGUACUUUAUGAAUAAGGAUCGGCUAACUCCGUGCCAGCAGCCGCGGUAAUACGGAGGGUCCGAGCGUUAUCCGGAUUUAUUGGGUUUAAAGGGAGCGUAGGCGGGUUGUUAAGUCAGUUGUGAAAGUUUGGGGCUCAACCGUAAAACUGCAAUUGAUACUGGCAAACUGGAGUACAGUUGAGGUAGGCGGAAUUCGUGGUGUAGCAGUGAAAUGCGUAGAUAUCACGAAGAACCUCAAUUGCGAAGGCAGCUUACUAAACUGUGACUGACAUUGAUGCUCGAAAGUGUGGGUAGCAAACAGGAUUAGAUACCCUGGUAGUC
rnacentral:rRNA from 1 species